rnacentral:rRNA from 1 species
CUACGGGUGGCUGCAGUGGGGAAUAUUGCACAAUGGGCGCAAGCCUGAUGCAGCCAUGCCGCGUGUGUGAAGAAGGCCUUCGGGUUGUAAAGCACUUUCAGCGGGGAGGAAGGCGGUGAGGUUAAUAACCUCAUCGAUUGACGUUACCCGCAGAAGAAGCACCGGCUAACUCCGUGCCAGCAGCCGCGGUAAUACGGAGGGUGCAAGCGUUAAUCGGAAUUACUGGGCGUAAAGCGCACGCAGGCGGUCUGUCAAGUCGGAUGUGAAAUCCCCGGGCUCAACCUGGGAACUGCAUUCGAAACUGGCAGGCUAGAGUCUUGUAGAGGGGGGUAGAAUUCCAGGUGUAGCGGUGAAAUGCGUAGAGAUCUGGAGGAAUACCGGUGGCGAAGGCGGCCCCCUGGACAAAGACUGACGCUCAGGCGCGAAAGCGUGGGGAGCAAACAGGAUUAGAUACCGUGUAGUC